rnacentral:rRNA from 1 species
AGCGAACGUUAGCGGCAGGCCUAAUACAUGCAAGUCGCACGAGAAUCCGGCUUCGGUCGGUAGUAAAGUGGCGGACGGGUGAGUAACACGUGGAUAAUCUGCCCUUCGGCGGGGACGAACGAGUCCGAAAGGAGUUGCUAAUACCGCAUACGUCAGCGAGGUCGUUCGGACCUUGUUGGGAAGAUGGCCUCUUCGUGAAAGCUAUCACCGAAGGAUGAGUCCGCGGCCCAUCAGC